rnacentral:rRNA from 1 species
UACGUAGGGUGCAAGCGUUGUCCGGAAUUAUUGGGCGUAAAGAGCUCGUAGGCGGUCUGUCGCGUCGGAUGUGAAAAUCCAGGGCUCAACCCUGGACCUGCAUUCGAUACGGGCAGACUAGAGUUCGGCAGGGGAGACUGGAAUUCCUGGUGUAGCGGUGAAAUGCGCGGAUAUCAGGAGGAACACCGGUGGCGAAGGCGGAUCUCUGGGCCAUUACUGACGCUGAGGAGCGAAAGCGUGGGGAGCGAACAGG